CCAGGAAAAGCUUCAGAUGCUAUUUUUCUGAUUGUUACAUCAUUGCUAAAAGGGUGAGGCCUUUAGAAAAAGAGUGGCAACUCCAAUUGACUGGAACCCUUAUUUUUUUGGUGGGUCCUUUAUUUUAACGUAACUUAUCAGUGGUUUAUGGAGUUGUUUCCAAAGUGGCGAUGGCGGGACGUUGCUUAAAAAGAAAACCAAAGGCUUCGACAUGUGUUCUUGGCUGGCGAGAUUCAAGAGGAGGGUUUUAAACUUCCCGUGGGAGUAGCCUUUCACAGCUCUUCCCUAAUCCUCUGGAAAUCGCCUGUUCUCUACAGCUGUUGAUUCUCCCGAUAAACUAUUUGGUCAAUUAUUCUUGGCAAAGAGGUUGCGGCCCGCCUCAAAGGCUCCCAACCCCAUAACUCGGCCUACUUCAAUAGCACCGGACCCUGACAGGCUGACCUACUGGGACUGAGGCCUGUUUGAAGCCUGCUGUAUUCCUCUCAAGAUUGUCUGCUCUGUCCCCGCCACCAUCUUCUGCCUCUCCCUCUCCCCCCAUUUCUGCACAGCUAAUACCGAAGUGUCCAGAGGGCCAUCAUGAUGGUGGCUGGGGGAAGAAAAGAGAUGCCACGGUAGCACCGGAGUGCUUGUGUGAUAAGAUAAUUACAAAUGAAAGAGAGAUUAGCAGGGGCUGUUGGGACAAAUGCUUCCAAAAUGGUUUCUGAAGUGCUGGCGGUUUGUUCUAACAGAAAAAGUCAGCUGCAGCUGCCGUCUCCAUGGCGACCGCAAGCAACAAAGGCCCCGCUGGGAUCCCGUUAUGAAAAUGUAAGAUCCGACAAACAGCUAGUCAGGGUGAAGAGAUGACAGACUGGGUCAGAUCUGCGUCAUAUAAAUGGACUGAGCAUUCACAGAAACAAGCCUUCUUUUCUCUUGGUGCCAUCUGCAUGAAUGGAUCCCUGACCCAAACAAGCUGUGUCUCUUCCUCAUCUUGUCAUCACCAACCUCCACAGUUACACAAUAUGCUGUUGGUUGCUUGAAACCAUCAGGGAAAGAAAAUGGAUGCAUAUUUCAGAAACAGAGUCUGGGUUCAUACAAAAUGCCAAACUGGAGGUUGGAGAACCCGCGGUUUCUAUUUGAAAUUGACUACAGAGGAAAACAAAAUAGUAUGAAAGACCUAAAAUGGUGGGAAUUCCCCAUGGUUGAGGGACAAACUCCAUAUAGGUCUGACUAACUUCUAAAGCAGAAUGCUUAGGAAACAUUUGUGGAUAACUUUUCCCAGUGUGGUUUGGGGAACACCUUAUGUACAGUAUUUAUUUCCAUUUGCCACAAGUACCAGGCAGCUAUGAAAAUUGAGAAGAUAAGCCUAUCAAGUGGAACUUCAUUUUGCAUAUUACAGAAAGCAUUCAAAAGAGGGCAAACUGAACCCUGACUAUGAUAUGGCUGCUACGUGGGCUCUAACAAAAUAAAGCAGGGGUUCUCAAACGUGGGUCCCCAGGUGUUUUGGACUGCAACUUGCAUCAGCCCCAGGGUGUGGGGAUGAUGGACUACAACUCUCAGCCCCUGCUGGACUACAAAAUCACCUGGGGACUGGGGACCCAUGGAAUGAAGGAAAUGUGAGAAAGAACUACAGGUAGAUGAAAGAUUUUAGAAGCUUGGUCACUCCGCAGGAUUUGUGUUUCAACAGUGUCUCGUCAAAUACCGCCUGAGGAUGCAUCAACUUUUCACCUGAAGCUUAUAAAAUUAAUGUCCUCCUGCGUUGCACAUCCAGAACGAUGUGAAUUUCGGGUCAGGCUGUUGAGAGAUCGUGGCAGGAUGAUCUGACUCCGUCUAUGGGAUUAAAGAUGGAUAAUGUGGGGGGAGAGAUGUGGGGGAAGGAGUGGAGGACACUUCUUUGCAUUCUGGUUCCCACAGGGGCUCCCUGCAGCCCAGAUGGAGAGAAAGGAACUGGCAAGAUCAUUCUGUCCUGUGCCCUGAUCCCCCCUCGGUUCAUAGAAGAAUGAAUUUUUGCUCACUCACAAACAUUUGGAUGGGAUUGUCAGCAGCUUUCACAUGUCAAUGUUAACCAUCAUCCAACGUUUGACUUUCAGUGAGCCAAAUUAGA